ACAGAGGCUGAGGUGAGAAUGAAGCCGACGAUGUAAGAGAGGGCACACAUGAGCUGGCCCAGCACCCAGCAGGUUUCUAUGAACCGUAUGGCUUCAAUCGGCAUCACCAGGAUCCCAACGAGGAGGUCGGAGACGGCCAGGGAGAGGAGGAGCAGUCAUCCUCUUCAUCACUGCUGCCCUCACGCCCCCAGCCAUCCUCUUCAUCCCUGUCUGCUGCCCUCCCUCUAUCUUCUUCCUCCCUCAGCUCUCUUUCAUCUGUCUAGUGUCCCUUUCCUAUGCCCCUUGAGUAUUUCCUGCCUCUAUGAUACUCUUAUUUUCUUGUUGCCUGUUUCCCUGCUCAUCUCAACAUCCUCUACCUCACCUCUGCCUCACUCUUUCCACCCUCCUUCCUCCUCUUUUCUGUCAUCUUCUGUAACUCCAACAGGUGAGUUGCAUGUAUACUGGAAAGGCUUUCCUCUGUAGAAUCAAGCUUUGCUGUGAGCACACACUCCUCAAAGUGGAAGCCUGUGGUUAAACAAUAAUCAUCGGUUAUUGUGUGUGUAAUUACAAUUUAUAACAAACAACAUAGACAGAGCUUUUGAAAGCAGGGACCUCAUUUUAUUUACUCAUGGCUCACCUUUGCUUGUGAGAAUUUCGAAUAAAUUAUAAUCACUCCAGAAUACUUUUCAGUAAUUGUGUAAACUGGCGAUAAUUGUUCUGCAUUCGCAACAUGGUUAUAUCUCAGAUUACCUUAGGAAUUAUGUGUUUAUGUACUCAAAAAAAAAAAAAAAAACACUGUCAUAAUUCAAAGGGCAGUUGAUCCACUGCCUGCUCUGUGAUCAUUUCCUCAAGAACUCAAAGGCAUAAUUGUCCAAAUUAAUCCGUUUUGCAUAUGUGGCCACUUUACCUGCAGUCCUUUCUGUGUGGAGUUUGCAUGUUGACCCCCAACUUCCUGGAAGAAGAGAUCUUGUAUUUCAAUGAUACUUUCCAGGCUAAAUAAAGGGUUAAUAAGAAUAAAUAAAAUGUUCUGGCCGUGCCUGUGUCAGUUUCCCCUGGGUGUUGCAGUAUCCUUCACAUUCCAAAGACAUGCAGAGGUGGAGUAGAGAUUCUGAGUUGUCCAUAAAGGUUAAUCUUUGUGAAUGUAUUUAUCUGUCUGUGUUAACCCUCUGAUGGACCUGCAACCUGAACAGGAAGUCACCCUGCCAUCCACACAAUGCAUACUGGGAUAGGCUCCAGCCCCCACAUGACUCUAAAUGUGAAUAAGUAUUUAUGGAAGACCAAUAGAGCCACAUACAGUCCCUUCAUUGUUUAAUGGUGAAUAAAUUCUCUGUCUGAAAUGCAGUCAAAUGCAAGCUGUCAGUCAUGUGUAUAAAUGGCACUUUUGCACAUUCAAAUUAAUGUCAUGUCGUACGUACUGAAUGACUUGAUUUGCCUGUAACCUGGUGUUGCAUUGUUGAGUUUGUCCUGUC
rnacentral:lncRNA from 1 species